GCCAGUGUGGCAUAGUGGUUUAAGUGCCAGACUAGGACUUUAGGAAGCCAGGGUUUAAAUCCCUGCUCAGCCA